UACGAAGGGGGCUAGCGUUGUUCGGAAUUACUGGGCGUAAAGGGCGCGUAGGCGGCUGUCCAAGUCAGAUGUGAAAGCCCCGGGCUUAACCUGGGAAUUGCAUUUGAGACUGGGCGGCUUGAGUUUCGGAGAGGUGGGUGGAAUUCCCAGUGUAGAGGUGAAAUUCGUAGAUAUUCGGCGGAACACCAGUGGCGAAGGCGACUCACUGGCCCGAUACUGACGCUGAGGCGCGAAAGCGUGGGGAGCAAACAGG
rnacentral:rRNA from 1 species